UUACACCACCAAUCUCUUCUGAGUUACUGGCCGGUGCAGCAGUAUGCAUUGUGCUGUACAGCAGUUUUUACGAGACGGGUCGACUGGUGAAGCAACAGUGCCGCCCGCAGCGCGCGCUCCCCAUCGCUCUCUCCGUGAACACCGGCCUCGCCUUCCUUGCCUUCUUCGCCCUUGGCAUCGUGCUAACGCUCAUGACAGGGAACGUGAUCCCCCCGCAGGGCGCCCCGCUACUGCAAGCACGGGGCGACGUAGUGGGAUGGGC